rnacentral:rRNA from 1 species
CCCUUAGAUGUCCGGGGCCGCACGCGCGCUACACUGAAGGAAUCAACGUGGCUUUCUCCCUGACCCGAAAGGGUUGGGAAACCCGUUGAAUCUCCUUCGUGAUAGGGAUUGGGGCUUGAAAUUGUUCCCCAUGAACGAGGAAUUCCCAGUAAGCGCGAGUCAUAAGCUCGCGUUGAUUACGUCCCUGCCCUUUGUACACACCGCCCGUCGCUACUACCGAUUGAACGGUUUAGUGAGGGCCUCGGAUUGGUCUCGGCCCGCUCUUUACCGGGCGGCGCCGUUGGUCGAGAAGACGCUCGAACUUGAUCGUUUAGAGGAAGUAAAAGUCGUAACA